CCCCAACUCCCGCUGUGUCCGAGCCCUGGCUAAGAGAGAGGACCUGACAGGGUGGCAGAUAGAAGAUCUGGAUCCCCAUUUCCUCAACUCCAUGUUUCAAGGAAGGAGCAGAAACUCCCCCAGUGAGCUCUGCUGACCUGUGUUAGCACCCAGAAGGGACAGCAGAGGUGCGCGUGGCAGGGCAUGGAGUGUCUUGGAGUCUUACUCAGCACUUCUUUCUCCUCGCAGGCCCACUGCUGACACCACAGACACUGCUGGCACGCCUGUUGGUGGUGGCAGGGAGCCCUGUUGCAGACCGCAAACUCCAAGCCACUGCCUUACUGCUCAUGCAAAACCUCCACAGCAGGAUCCACAGAGCUGUGGGGGCCAUGUGGGCUGCUGAGAUCCCCCUGCUGCUACAGUGUCUCCAAGUUCCUGAGGGCGUUGCUGGAGACCAUGGAGGAUGAGGCCUGGACCAAGGCCCUGAGCUGUGAGCUGAGCCAGUGGCUGAGCAGCUCUCCCAGCAGCUCUGGAGAAAAGAUGGAGCUGGACAGUGUGAGAGCUCAGGCCACACGCAGCGCUCUCAUCCUCGCCCAUGGCAGCUCAGCACUGCGUGCCUCCAAGGAACAGCUGCUCGCCCACCUGGAGGGAGACAUCAUGGGCAGCAUCCUGAUGCUCUACAGCUGCAGCUGCUGGAACUUGCUGAAGAAGUAUUUCUUGGGCAACCCCGUCUCCCCAGUGCCCCUCAAGGUGGUUCUGGCCCUGGAGCAGUUGAGGUAAGGGCCAGAAUGCAGAGAUUAAAAUCUCUUCCUGAAUCGGCUGAGAGAUGAUAUAAAUACAGCCUUUCUACUACUCUUCUAGGAUGCAAUGGCUCAACAAAUGCUGUCAAUGAGUUGGGACUGCCAAAAUGUCUGCCUCUAGUCAUGACUAAGCUUUAACUCCUCUCUGAAGAGAAAGUCUUACGGAAAAUUAUAUUUGAAAUAUGACACCAUUCAUGCAAUGUGACUGUAGUACAUCCUGUUUUUUGAAUAUCCUAUGCCUAAUCUGUAACCACAAACUAACCGCGUUUUUGUGUGGCUGUCCCUCAGUGUCUGAGGAAAUAACUGCAGUUUAAUAUAUAACAUCAACUAAUAGACAUCCAAACACACUCACAAUUUGGCUGUCAUAAACCAGCUCUUACCUUGUGAAAACUGUCACGAGUUGAUAGUACAGCAAAUCUUUGCUUACAAG
ensembl:lncRNA